rnacentral:lncRNA from 7 species
AAAUAUCUGUGGCAGAGCUGGCAGACAAAGCCAGUGGCUUUUCCCAGCAACUGGUCCAGCGUGCUGUCCUGUACCAUGUCACAUUAUUACAGCAUGGUUUGAGUUAUGGGAGAAUUUUUAUGGCUUGCCACUGAAGAUAGCUGAGGUCUGUUGUAUCAGCAGCUCUGGGCUGUGGGAUUAUUGAACUAGCACUCUUCCAACAGCAACAAGCCUGCCCUGGUUUUUGUCCAUUACUCCGAGGGAUCUUUGCCAGAACUGCAGGAGGGAACGGCUCCCACAGAUUUCCUGUACUCUGCCUUUGCUUGGACAUGCUCAGCAUCCUUGUGUCACCAGAUCCUUUCCUAGUCUGCAAGUCAGUCUGUGGACUGUGCAUGUGGGCUGCUUCCCUUUGAAGCUUCACAUCACUGAUCGUGUGAGCUCUGCAGGUGACUGAUCCUCCAGCAGAAACAGAUUUGGCGAUGCAGGGAAGACUCAAGGAGGGUAGCCUGGGAGCCCACCCGCUGUCAAAUGGAUGCCCAGAUGCACACAGCAUGGAAGAGUGGGACUGAGGGGAAAAAUAGAACGCCAGAAACUAGGAGGCACAAAAAAUUAAGUCGUUAAUGGACUUAAAUUGUUCAUUAAUCUUCUGCAUGUUUUUUUUUUUUUUCCCAUCUGAGCCAAAACCACCUGUAACAUGUUCACGCUGACUUUUCUGAAAGCUUUUCUUAUUUAUUUUGUAUGACCACACUGGAAAAGGAAAGUCAUUUGAAGCAAAUCUGCAGCUCCAGAGCCUGGUGGUCGUAGUGUGAGAUUACAGCCUCCUGAAUGCUAAAUAACAUGUUGUCAGCCAUGAUGAAGGAAAGCCUGAAAGCAGGAAUGGCACAUAUAUUACUGGCUGCCAAGGUAGGCAUUUAAACCUGUCUACAUGCCCUAGCAUAGUUUUCUAUGGAAAAAAAAAAAGAGUGCCUGCAUCAACUGAAGAAGCACCUCAGUUACACUGCAACUCAACACACUUUCACAGGGAAGGUAAAAUCCUGAAGGGAGAGGCACGGAGUCUGCAAGCAUAGUUCAGAAAAUCCUGGGAAAGGAAGCAGCCCUGAUGUUACUGUCCUAAUAACUGAAACAACAGCCAGCUGAAACUCUGUUUUCCAUGCAGUGUGCUGCUGUGGGACUUACGUGUAGGGUUUUAUCCUCAUAAGGCUGGUCGUGAGCAAAAGGAUUAAAAAUACUGGUCUCAAUGCC